rnacentral:tRNA from 2 species
GCCGGGGUGGCGAAAUUGGCGAUACGCGAGGGACUUAAAAUCCCUUGGAGGGCAACCUCCGUGUGGGUUCGAUCCCCACCCCCGGCA